CGCAACGAGCGCAACCCUUGAUCUUAGUUGCCAGCAUUCAGUUGGGCACUCUAAGGGGACUGCCGGUGACAAACCGGAGGAAGGUGGGGAUGACGUCAAAUCAUCAUGCCCCUUAUGACCUGGGCUACACACGUGCUACAAUGGACAGAACAAAGGGCAGCGAAACCGCGAGGUUAAGCCAAUCCCACAAAUCUGUUCUCAGUUCGGAUCGUAGACUGCAACUCGACUGCGUGAAGCUGGAAUCGCUAGUAAUCGCGGAUCACCAGGCCGCGGGGAAUACGUUCCCGGGCCUUGUACACACC
rnacentral:rRNA from 1 species